UGAAUAUUUUUAUCAAUUUUGAUGUAUUGCAUUCAGCUUUAGAAUGAAGACCUUAUGUGAUGACCUUGAUUAUGUGAUUCUUUAGGCGAAGAGAGAGUACAGAAGUUGAGGACAUAUUCCUUGCUCAUAUUAAUGGAAUUGAUACCCUGGCUCGUGGACUCCGAAGUGCUGCCAAGUUGAUUCAGGAUGGUUCAUUGGCUGAGCUUGUUCGCAAAUGCUAUCAGAGUUUUGAUACAGAAAUCGGGGCGCAAGUAGAGGCUGGUAAGGGAGAUUUUGAAACGCUUGAGAAGCUGGCCAUGAAAUGGGGUGAACCCAAGGUUCCAUCUGCUAAGCAGGAACUUGCUGAGAUGC